ensembl:lncRNA
UCUUGCAGUUUAAAUCUAGAUUAAAGACCCAUCUCUGUAACCUGGCUUACACACUACACACUAAUACACUUCUAAUAUCCAAAUCCAUUAAAAGAUUUUUAGGCUGCAUUAAUUAGGUAAACCGGAACCGGGAACACUUCCCAUAACACCCGAUGUACUUGCUACAUCAUUAGAAGAAUGGCAUCUACGCUAAUAUUAGUCUCUUUCUUUCUUAUGAGACAGCGAAGAUCAGGACAACUAGAGCCCCAGAGACAGAUCCCCUGUAAAGACCUUGUCUCAGACGACCACCGGGACAAGACCACAGGAAACAGAUGAGUCCUCUGCACAAUCUGACUUUGCUGCAGCCUGGAAUUGAACUUCUGGUUUCGUCUGGUCAGAGGAGAACUGGCCCCCCGACUGAGCCUGGUUUCUCCCAAGGUUUCUUCUCCAUUCUGUCACUGAUGGAGUUUUGGUUCCUUGCCGAUGUCGCCUCUGGCUUGCUUAGUUGGGGACACUUCAUUUACAGUAAUAUCGUUGACUUGAUUGCAAAUUAUUGCACAGAUACUAUUUAAACUGAACUGAGCUGCAUGAUGACAUCAUUGAAUUCAAUGAUGAACUGCUUUAACUGUCAUUUUGGAUUAUUGACACACUGUUUUCCUAAUUAAUGUUGUUCAGUUGCUUUGACGCAUUUUUUUAUUAUUAUUAUUAUUUUUUUUUUAAAGCGCUAUAUAAAUAAAGAUGGCUUGACUUGACUUGACCAUCCAGAAUGAGGUCAGACCUGGGAACAAAGAACUGUUAUGUGAAACAAAUGCAGAAGUUCCUACACUAUGAUGACCACGACGAAUAUGAAGAAAACUGCUUCAUCUAUGUUUCAAGCAACCACAAUCAGCGCAUUGAGAGAUGGUGGACAUUCAUGAGACAACAGCAUGCUCAGUACUGCAUCGUUUCCAGGAUUUGAAGGAGAAAGAUUUCUUCUCAGGUGGCUUCCUGGACAAGCAGUUAAUAUUGUUCACCUGUCUGAAUAUCAUUGAGAAAGAGCUGCAACAAGUCCUGAAUUUGUGGAAUACUCACAGAAUUUGUAGUUGCAGAAAUGCUGUGGCUCCCAAUGGCCGUCCUCUCAUGAUGUAUCUCAACUUUUUGGAGCAAGAGAUUACCUGAAGCCAGUCUCUCAGGAGGCUGUAGAAGCCUGCCGAGAGGAAUGCCUUCAGAGAGGGCCAUACUCAUGUGAUGAGACAGUUUUUACUUUAUCCUGUCUUCUCAUGGAAGAGAACCAUCUUCAUCCACCCACAACACCUGAUGAAUCGAUUGAAUUGUACCUAUUUCUGAGGAGCUGUAUAAUUUAAAAUAUGUAAGCAACUAUUGUAACAUGACACUGUGGCUCAUCUGCAAUAUCAUUUUAUUUUUCUUAUUUGUGUUUGUUGUAGUAAUCUGUACCAGGUAACCUGCUGGCUAUCUUUGUGACUGCAAGAAAAUGUGUUAAUUUAGAAAUAUAAAUCAAUGAAUGUCAUUCAAUGUGUAUUCAGUAUACAUAAGGUGUAUCAUAUGAGAAGGCGCACACACAUAUAGUAAAAAUACUAAAUGCAUAGAGGAAACCAUACUCUGUAAGAAAAUUGGGGUUGUAAUGAAACUUUAAAGAGAAAUAAUGUAAAUAAUGUAAUAAAGUACAAAUUGAUUUAAAAAAACA